GAGACGGAUAAUUGAGUCAAGCGCGGUAGUGACCUAGGUUAUGUAACUUUCUCAACUUUCAUUCCAAAAAUACAACAAGUGGAUGAAGUUGUUUGAAACUUGAGAAGAACUUUCCUAAAGGCAUAGCUGUCCCAGAGAAAUGCAAGUUUUCCAUGUGGAUGGAUAGUGCUAGUGAAUGUGAACUUAUCAAUGCUAGAAGUGAGUCAACUGUAUCAAGUGAUGCAUUUGCUGAGCUAAAACUGAAACAGAAAGGUUAUGCUAGUUUAGAUCAACGUGCUCUUGCUCGAGAUUGUUAGAAAAAAGCAGUAAACCUUGAUCCACACAUUGAGAGUUACGUCAAUAAUCUACAUGUAGCAGAAGAAAAACUGGGAGAAAAUCCUUUAUGAUC